AAAGAGGAAGCAGCAAGGCUGGGCCUUGAAGAACGUGAAGGAGUCACCCAGCUAGAGAGGGCAGGAGGGUGUUCCACGAAGUACAAACAUCAUGAACAGAAAGUCAAAGAGUGAAAGUGAAGGGAGGAUUGGGGAGCAGUGAACAGACAAUGUGAGAGAGCUGCGGCACCAUGGAGAAGAGUAAUGAGAGGGACAUCCUGAAGGAAAGACAAUAUGAAGGACUGUCGAUGCCAAAGAAAGGACUUUCAGCCAUAUGCACGCAAUGGGGAGCAAUGCAAGAUUGUCAACCAAGAGACUGAGGUGACCAGAUCUGCUUCACAGCAGCAGCAGCAGCAGUGUACAUGGAAGAUUAGAGGACCGAGAGAGAUGCAUGUCAGGAAAAUCAGCUAACAGACUCUAAAAUAACUAAGACUUGAGAAAGAUCUGGAUCAAAGCUUUAACAGCAGCAAUAAAGAAAAAAGAAGAGACAUUUCUGUAAUCAGAUCUAGAAAAGUUGAUGACCCCCAGGAUAACAGCCAUGAAAGUGAGAAGUGCAGGACACAAUGGUUUAAGCUUGGAAUCUCAGCCACUCCGAAGUCGCUGAGGCAGGAGAAUCACUUGAGCCUAGCUUGGCCAUUUUAUCGUUAAGGGAGAUAAGUCAAGAAUAGGAAAAGAAUGUGCAUACUGGGGAAGACCAUGUACACUAAAAAGCAGAGCUUGUCAUCUGUGCUGACUCCUUUUUUCUUCUUGUCUUCUCUACUUCUCAAGGUGCUGCUACCACAAACAUGAGGAAACUUCUGUUAGGAGUUCAACCUUCAGAGAGGACAGCUGGCAGUGCAAGAUGGUGACAGCCCUGCAAUCAGGAGAAGAAAGUCAUGAGAGUAAGGAAUGAUGGAGAGGGAUGAGAGCGUUUUCUAGGAUUUGAAGAGUUAAGAGACUCUGAAUAAUUGGCAGGGGAAGCUGGGAUGGAGAACAAAGUAGGAGAAGCCUGUUUCUCCAGGUUUCCCGCCUCCUUCCACCUUCUGUACAGGACACACCAGUUCCCUCAAGCCCAAAAUGUGAGCAGCUGUCAUUCUCUGCAUAGCCAAGCUCGGCAGUCUGCCGAAAGGGACAAGCCAGUCCCGCAAAGGAAUGAUGUAUGCCAAAAGAUACUGCAUUAGGA
rnacentral:lncRNA from 10 species